rnacentral:sRNA from 1 species
GUCAACACAUUUCAAAGCAAAGUCUGUCACUAGAGACGUCGACGUCAUAAUGAAACAUUGUACAUUUUUUUCUUUUGUGACUUUAAUUACACUUGCAACAGUGACUUAUGGUCUACCAAAACAAGUGUUAAACAGGAACUGUUUUAAUGCAAUGUCCUGCUCUGAUGAUCCAUGCUUGAUGUCUGAUUGUCCAGUUCGAUGUGUCCAGUACACCUCUACAAGUUAGCUCCGUUUGUUCUAGGUACACCUCUACAAGUUAG